rnacentral:rRNA from 1 species
CCUACGGGAGGCUGCAGUGAGGAAUAUUGGUCAAUGGGCGAGAGCCUGAACCAGCCAAGUAGCGUGAAGGAAGACUGCCCUAUGGGUUGUAAACCUCUUUUAUCAAGGAAUAAAGUGAGGCACGUGUGCCUGUUUGUAUGUACUUUAUGAAUAAGGAUCGGCUAACUCCGUGCCAGCAGCCGCGGUAAUACGGAGGAUCCGAGCGUUAUCCGGAUUUAUUGGGUUUAAAGGGAGCGUAGAUGGGUUGUUAAGUCGGUCGUGAAAGUUUGCGGCUCAACCGUAAAAUUGCAAUUGAUACUGGGAGGCGUUAGUACAGUUGAGGUAAGCGGAAUUCGUGGUGUAGCGGUGAAAUGCUUAGAUAUCACGAAGAACUCCGAUUGCGAAGGCAGCUUACUAAACUGCAACUGACAUUGAUGCUCGAAAGUGUGGGUAUCAAACAGGAUUAGAUACCCUUGUAGUC